UGUAUAUUCGUCUGAGAUAAGUAAGACAUCACGAUUGUGUACGACUCUCUCACUGUCUCACCAUAGACUCGGCGAAAUUGCACUACGAGUAAAGAUGCUCGUUACGCGCGGCAGGACGAAAAGACCCCGGGACCUUCACUAUAGCUUGGUAUUGGCGUUUGGUUCGGUUUGUGUAGGAUAGGUGGGAGACUGUGAAGCAGGCACGCCAGUGUUUGUGGAGUCAUCGUUGAAAUACCACUCUGAUCGUAUUGAACCUCUAACCUCGGACCGUAUAUCCGGUCCAGGGACAGUGCCUGGUGGGUAGUUUAACUGGGGCGGUUGCCUCCCAAAAUGUAACGGAGGCGCCCAAAGGUUCCCUCAACCUGGACGGCAAUCAGGUGUUGAGUGCAAGUGCACAAGGGAGCUUGACUGCGAGACCUACAAGUCAAGCAGGGACGAAAGUCGGGACUAGUGAUCCGGCACCUCUGAGUGGAAGGGGUGUCGCUCAACGGAUAAAAGGUACCCCGGGGAUAACAGGCUGAUCUUCCCCAAGAGUCCAUAUCGACGGGAUGGUUUGGCACCUCGAUGUCGGCUCGUCGCAUCCUGGGGCUGGAGCAGGUCCCAAGGGUUGGGCUGUUCGCCCAUUAAAGCGGCACGCGAGCUGGGUUUAGAACGUCGUGAGACAGUUCGGUCUCUAUCCGCCGCGCGCGUCAGAAACUUGAGGAAACCUGUCCCUAGUACGAGAGGACCGGGACGGACGAACCUCUGGUGUACCAGUUGUUCCACCAGGAGCAAGGCUGGAUAGCUACUCUCGGACAGGAUAACUGCUGA
rnacentral:rRNA from 1 species